UACGUAGGGUGCGAGCGUUGUCCGGAAUUAUUGGGCGUAAAGGGCGCGUAGGCGGCUUGUCAAGUCACUUGUGAAAUCUCUGGGCUUAACCCAGAACGGCCAAGUGAAACUGACAUGCUAGAGUGCAGAAGGGGCAAUCGGAAUUCUUGGUGUAGCGGUGAAAUGCGUAGAUAUCAAGAGGAACACCUGAGGUGAAGACGGGUUGCUGGGCUGACACUGACGCUGAGGCGCGAAAGCCAGGGGAGCAAACGGG
rnacentral:rRNA from 1 species